GGCCCGGUGGUGUAGUUGGCAACAUGUCUUCAAAUGAUAUUGACGAAGGUUGUGAGAGGAAGUUCCUUGUUCGAUUCAAGGCCAGGCUG